GACGAACGCUGGCGGCGUGCCUAAUACAUGCAAGUAGGACGCAGUUGCGAACGGGUGAGUAACGCGUAGGUAACUACCUAUUAGAAGGGGAUAAAUAUUUGAAACGUUAGCUAAUACCGCAUAUUAGUAGAUGGACCUGCGUUGUAUUAGCUAGUAGGUAGGGUAAUGGCCUACCUAGGCAAAGAUACAUAGCCGAACGUAGAGGGUGGUCGGCCACAACUGGACGGGUGAACGGCCCAGACUCCUACGGGAGGCAGCAGUAGGGAAUCGUCGGCAAUGGGGGGAACUCUGACCGAGCAACGCCGCGUGAGUGAAGAAGGUUUUCGGAUCGUAAAGCUCUGUUGUUAAUGAAGCGGUACUUAACCAGAAAGGGACGGCUAACUACGUGCCAGCAGCCGCGGUAAUUC
rnacentral:rRNA from 1 species